rnacentral:lncRNA from 1 species
AUGCCCUGCUCUGAAGAGACACCUGCCAUUUCCCUCAAGAAGCAGGCCAGCCCUGCGGAGGAGAGUGGCAUGCAGCCCCACUUUGCCUGGCUCCCUGAGCACACCGCAGACUCAACUCAGGGAUCCACAGGGACCACAGACUAUGACCUAUACAGUGCCUAUUAUUAUACAAUACUACCUAUGGACAAAGUUCUUGUGAAAACAGACAUCCAGAUAUGUCUUGCAUGUGGAUGUUAUGGAAUAGUUGCUCUAUGGUCUGGCUUGGCUGCAAAACACUUUAUAGAUGUAGGAGCUGGUGUCAUAUAAAGACUACAGAGGAAAUUUUGGUGAUAUAAUGUUUAAUUUUGGCAAAGAAAAGUUUGAAGUCAAAAAAAUGAUUGGAUUGCACAGCUCAUUUAUGAAUGAAUUUUUUAUACAUAAAGAGAUAUUCAAGACUUGGAUGAUACUGAAGGGGGUUCAGGAGAUUUUGGUUUCACUGGAAAAAAUCAA